rnacentral:rRNA from 1 species
CAGCCGCCGCGGUAAUAUGUAGGGUGCGAGCGUUGUCCGGAAUUAUUGGGCGUAAAGGGCUCGUAGGCGGUUUGUCGCGUCGGGAGUGAAAACACCGGGCUUAACUCGGUGCUUGCUUUCGAUACGGGCAGACUAGAGGUAUGCAGGGGAGAACGGAAUUCCUGGUGUAGCGGUGAAAUGCGCAGAUAUCAGGAGGAACACCGGUGGCGAAGGCGGUUCUCUGGGCAUUACCUCGACGCUGAGGAGCGAAGUAGUGGGGAGG